CGGGCGGAGGCGGGGGCGGCCGCGGAGCAGGGCUGCGGCGUGGGAGGAGGAAGAGGAGGAGGAGGAGGAUGCGAUCGGCCUCCGCCUUCCGCCCCGAAAUGCUGCGCUUCCCUGCAGAAAUGUUUUUCGCUUCUUCUGUUUCUAGGUCUGCUGAUGGUGUGGCAUUACUGCGGUGGUCGUUGUGAUCGCUCAGCAACGCUUUUGAAAAAGCAAGGAAACUUUAUUCAGGGAAAAGCCUUGCUCUGUAAGAAGGACUGUGUUGUGGAUUUGGCCACCUUGUCACUUGAAGUCAUGUUUGGGGUGCCUUUGGGGGAUGGGACGGGAUGCCUUUCUGGGUGAUGCUGUUCAGCAGCAACUGUUGCUCUUUCUGGAAGCCUUGUAAUACCGUGGAGGGGGUGGCGCUCCUCCUCUGCUGUGCCAGCUCUGUGCUGUAUCUUUUUGGGGGCCCGGGCGAGGUAAGAUUUGUCAUUUAUAAGUAUUCUUAGAAGAGCACUGGACAGUGAAGUCCCCGGGUACUCUGUGGUUAGUACUUUUGAACGGUGGAACGAGAGGCUUGGAAUCUGAGUGUGUUUGUAUUUACUGUUCUGUAAAAUGGAAAUGGUAACACCUGACCUGCUUUUGCCCCGCACUUUAUCUGAGAGGCUCACGUGUGUGAGAGAUAAUGUGCGUGAAAGAUGUAAAACAGUGUGCUCUUUCUGUGUAAGGUGGUGUUAUCAAGCUGGUGGAAGGCAGCACUUUUCUUACAAUUGGUCUCAAAAGCCUUAGAUGCGUGCGGCGUUGCCAUUUUAGUUUAUUGCCUUAGCAAGGCAGAGUUUGGGGGUGGGAUUGUCGAUGGCAGGCCUUGGGAGAAAUGAUUGUUGUAUUUCAUAUUAAAUGGCAUCCUUGAGAAACUCGUAAAUUGUAAGGUAAUCCUGUCUUAAUUGUGCCGGGCACGACCCCCCCCCCCCAAUACCUUAAAUAACUGAAAACAGUUGCCUUUCAAAGCGCCAUUCCACUUGGACAAUAAAAACAGUUGCUGUCUUGCUCUAUGGAUGUUUUCUACCAUUUCCUUCACUCUGCUGGUGGGGUUAUUCCUAGGGAAAAUAACGGAUAUGAUAUCCAGGCUUCAAAACCAUUGGGUCUUUGAUGCUUUAUAGCAGGUAUGCGUUUGAAAUAAAAAUCCCUGUCACGUGAAUAAAAAAUUCUAUGACGCAUGCACUGAGCACAAAAACAAAUUACUGGUUUGAUUCCUAGGACAGCUCAAGCGGAAUUUGUAGCACCAGGCUGUAAGGGUUUUAAGUAUCUAAUUUUCUGAUGUAAAAGUGCAGCAUAAUUAAACAAGACUGGAAAAAGUUCAUGUUACAAGGUUCAAAAGCAGGAUUUGCUAUAAUUACAAUUUCAUAAAAUGCUAAAGAAAAAAGUAGAAGCACACCAAAAUGUAGUGGAAGGGUAUAUGAGCCCCCCCCCCCCCCCCUUUACACCCAUUGGGUUAUUUUACAGUUGUGAGGGGGAAAAAACCAAAUACGUGUCAUUCAAUUGCUAUGUUUUUCCUUUCCUGGGCUGUGUAUGUGGCUUGCUUUCUGCCUCUUUCUAGUAGUGGAAAACUUUAUUCUUUGUCACAUAAGGGUAGGGCAGGGGCCCUUUGGUAGCUAUUACUGGAGGGGGAGAGAUUAUGGAAGAAAGACUGUCAAGUGAAGAGUCCAAAAAGUGUGUCAUGAAAAUGUAAAAAGAAGAAGAAAUAAUGUCCCCAAAUAACCCAAUUUGAGUUACUGUUAACCCGCAUCAUUAUUACUUUACUGUCAAUGGGUGUUUGACUUGUGUGUCUUCUGUUGUCGUUGGCCCAAAUAGCUAACUGGAGUUAAUUGGUAUUCAGAUGGUAUAAUGGCCGUUUCUUUUCUCCUGGUAGGUCAUAACCAGUUCCUGGUGCUGAGCUGGGGGCUAUUGGUUCCCUUCCAAGUGCCUUGGAAAUAACUCCAGUGUUAAUCUUAAUAUAUCCCCUGCUCCAAAGGUUAUUUAAACUCUUGUCCUUUAGAAAGAGAAAAUCUUUUGUUGGGAUAUGUAACUGGUGUCUGUUAACGUUCAAAAUGGAGCUGUUUUCUCCUUUUCCUCCUCUCAAGGACGACACAGACAUGUCAUACGAAGCCUAGCAGCACAUUGAAACGCGUGGUAAAGGCCAAGCUGGAGUAUUUUUAAGGUUUACCUUCGAUCAUAACGUUCUUAGGACCCAGGCUCCUGCAUUCUGAAUGGUUAAAAAUUUAGUUGCAUUCUUCUUCUUUUUUUUCUUUUUAAGAGUUUGUUUUUAAAUAAUCUCUACACCCAACGUGAGACUCGAACUCACGAGCCCAGAGGUCAAGAGUCCAUGGUUGGAGCCAGCCGGGUGCCCGAGUUGCAUUGUUCUUAUCCUGCUGUUCGGGGUCCUCCUCUAAGUCUCCCCCUGGAUUACAUAACCACUCUCACGUUCUACCUAUCCAGCCUACUUAAUCUGUCGGCUGUGAUACCCCAGCACAAAGCUCCUGGCCGGUGGGUAGCCCUGGGUGUAUGUGCCUCUGUCCACUUUGGCUCCGACUCAUAGAAGGCUUGCCAAGUGUCAGUUGUUUCCAAAUCUGGUUAUUCCAGUUAGACUUAUUCUUGCAAUUACAGUUAAAUAUUAUGUAAACCUUUGAACAAGUGUGGAAAGAAAAUUGGUUUCUUUUUUCUUUUUUCUUUUUUUUUUUUUUGGAGAGUGGAUUUUUAUGAAAACUUUUAAGUUGACUGUUUUGGGAACAUUCAAUAAAAGUGAAUUCCUUAAAAAAAAAAAAAAUCAGGCUGUUUAAUGAGAUGUGGGCCCGCCGUUUAAAAGACUCGGGGAAAAUCUGUUACGGAUUCAUUGCUUUUGCAAGUGAUUCCCUUUUAAGAACCAAACUUCAUUUAUGCCCAGACUCUCUUCCCAACAAACAAACAAAGCAUAACACGGAACACUGGAAUUCUCAACAAAUCUGUUGCUAAAAGUACAUUUAGGUGUUUACGUUAAAGUGUUAAAAUAGGUGUGGAUUUUCAGGUUUCCGGACCAACAGACCGUACUUGAGCUUUUUGGUCCCUGUCACCCCUGAUUAGAGUGCUUCCGUUGUGUUUGCCCUUAAUCCCCAGGUAUUAAACUAGACUCCCCAGCCAGUUGCGGCCAGGUAGGUGAAGUGUGGCCCAGUUUCGAGUGGCUCUACUGAAAGUUAAGUUGUAUUACUUUUAGGAUUAAAGGGUUGUGUCCUUCCCUGGAUGGUAGGGGGCCUUUUCCAUACUUGCCUCAUUCAUCCCUGCAAGCUUCUUUCGUGCCGGGAGGUAGGCAGUCUGAGUGAGAUUUUUUAAGGUUUUGACCUUUCCCGGGGCUUCAGUUAACACUCUGCUUUCUGGCAGCCGCACACUUUUUAAAUGAGGGGUUUUUCAGUUCGUUGCUGAUCCAGAAUAAAGUCACUGAAAGCAGAGCCGAACCUUCUAGAAAGUGACAGCGCUGGCCAGAUCCCCCUUCGCUCCUGGUCAGGCUGCCCAUUUCUCCUGGGGUUCUCUUUGAAGUUUGAAGAAAUGUGCCAGAAGAGCUCGGAUCAUAGAGAACACUCUAGAUGGGCCGCACAACACCCGCUUCUCCUGAAAGCCUCGUGAAGAGAAGGCCCGGGCAGUUCUGAAAUAACCACCUACGUUUGUUUCCAUGGUUUGCAGAAAGCGGACUACGGAAUGAAUGCUUGUUCUGUUAAGCAGCAGUUGGAUACAGACGUUAUUAAGACUUGGAGAGUUUUGUGCUUUGUGUAUCCGCCUUGUUACUAGUGCAUGGGCUUCGGUAAUGCAAUGCCUCGGAUUUGGACAGGCUUGUUGUGAAGAUACAGGGUACCUCUACAUGGUAAUGGACAAGAUUGAGGAUAAGAGCCGAGUUCAGGGUUGGGUCCUAUAAUACACCGGCUGUGUGUGACCCCGGGCAAGCCACAUAACCUCACUGAGCUGCUUCCUCAUCUGGAAAACUUGUUCCGUGCACCUUAACGGGCUUGGGGCUGGGAGAGCCAGUGAGAUUUUUGAUGUGAAAGCACUUUGUAAAUUGCAUACGCCCGCACAAGUGCUCAAGGUAUUACACAGUUGGAAAUCACCAACCUGAAGCAUCGGGCCUGCCGGCAGCCUUCGUAGCUGACUCAGAAAUAAAUGAAUCAAGUGAAUUCUAUACUUUGCUUCUUAAUAAACCGAAUGAGUAGCAGCAGAUAUUCUGAAGCCCGUUUUGAUGUAAUGUCUUUCUACCCCCACCCUCUCUGUCUGUUGUUGAAACUCUUCUGUAUCCGGCACUUGACUCCCAAACACAGAUUGAGAGGCACGGAUUGACGGUUGAGUUUAGAGUGGCACUGAGUCUGCGUGCAAAGAGCACCACAGAUGUUUAAACUGGACCUUGGAACAAUAAUCCUUGAAAUUGAAUAUCUGAUCAUGAUCCUUCCUUGGCUCCCUGUGGCUUUCAGGAUCAAGUCUAAACUAAGUGUGUCCUCAGCACAGCGUAAGAAUCCCUUCUUGCUCUACCCUGGGCCUAUCCUGCCCCCCAGUCGGGAACCCAGCCUCUUUGCCUUUGCAUAUCCUGGUUUCUCCCAACGGGUUGCCUGAGGAGCCCACCCCGCCCUUUUGAGGCCUGCUACUCUGUUCUCCAGUCAGGCAGGGCUAAGCCCUUUCUCUCGGACUCCUUACACCAGGCGCUGGAAUCCGUGUUUACCUGUCUCUUACCCUAUUAACCCCCCAAGAGGGAGGGGCUGAAUUUUCUGUCAGCAGGCGGCCGAGGAAGUAUUUGUUGAGUUGAAGCUUUUGGAGUAUGUCAGUUGCUACCUGGUUGCGGGAGGGAAUUGGUAUGGAUCUGGCAGCAAAAGAAAAACUCAACUAAGGAGAAUCUCCGGGCUGAGAAAGCCUGGGGUGUCUAGUGCUGUUAAGCAACUUGACUGAGGUUACACGUUUCAUCAGUGACACAGCCAGGGCGUGAAAUCCAGCCCCUGAUAGAACAGAAGGCUGUGUGUUAGUGUUUUUGGACAAGUUUUUAAGAGGUCCUUCUUUACACGUGGAUUCUCAGUUGUCCAUGGUAACUUCAAGAACUGAUUGAUUUUCAUGGGAAAAGACCAUCCACAUGUAAGCAUUGUGCAAACGACUUUCUUUGUUCUAUCAGAAAUCCUUCAAAUCAGAUGAUUACAAAUGUUAAAAACCAUUGCAAUUGCAUGCUAGACAUUCAUUCAUAUAUAUGUAUAUGUAUAUAUAGUUUUACACAUGUAGUGUCAUGCUCCUAAGGGAUGUUACGUGCUUUUUGCAUUUAUAUCUUGAUGAUCAGAAUACAUUUAUACACCAUCAUAUGUAUUGUUGCUUUAUUUUAUUAAAAAACUUAAUGUUUAUUUUUGAGAGAGAGAG